CGAGCGAGCACGGAUUUCUUCCGAUGAAGUGACUGAGCGGCGGACGGGUGAGUAACGCGUGGGUACCUGCCUCAUACAGGGGGAUAACAGUUGGAAACGGCUGCUAAUACCGCAUAAGACCGCAUGGUAAAAACUCCGGUGGUAUGAGAUGGACCCGCGUCUGAUUAGGUAGUUGGUGGGGUAACGGCCUACCAAGCCGACGAUCAGUAGCCGACCUGAGAGGGUGACCGGCCACAUUGGGACUGAGACACGGCCCAAACUCCUACGGGAGGCAGCAGUGGGGAAUAUUGCACAAUGGGGGAAACCCUGAUGCAGCGACGCCGCGUGAGCGAUGAAGUAUUUCGGUAUGUAAAGCUCUAUCAGCAGGGAAGAAAAUGACGGUACCUGACUAAGAAGCCCCGGCUAACUACGUGCCAGCAGCCGCGGUAAUACGUAGGGGGCAAGCGUUAUCCGGAUUUACUGGGUGUAAAGGGAGCGUAGACGGCAUGGCAAGCCAGAUGUGAAAGCCCGGGGCUCAACCCCGGGACUGCAUUUGGAACUGUCAGGCUAGAGUGUCGGAGAGGAAAGCGGAAUUCCUAGUGUAGCGGUGAAAUGCGUAGAUAUUAGGAGGA
rnacentral:rRNA from 1 species